GGGGGAGUGGAGUAAAGGUAGCUCGUUGGACUCAUUAUUCAAAGGUUUAGGGUUCGAUUCCCUACUCCCCUG
rnacentral:tRNA from 1 species